rnacentral:misc_RNA from 1 species
UUUCCGUAGGUGAACCUGCGGAAGGAUCAUUAAAGUUAUAGUCCCCUGGCCCUCUGGGCUGGGGUCUUCUAUACCACCCUUUGUUUAUUACACCUUUGUUGCUUUGGCAGGCCUGCCCUCGGGCUGCUGGCUCCGGCCGGCUCGCGUCUGCCAGAGUGCCUAAACUCUGUUUGUAUAUGAAGUCUGAGUACUAUAUAAUAGUUAAAACUUUCAACAACGGAUCUCUUGGUUCUG